UUUAAGCAAAAAGAAAAAGAAGACGAACGAAGCAAAAUGAGAAAAGAAGUAAGUUCAGUGGACCAAAUACUUGCCGGCUUGCUGCUCUCGCGUUGAGUCUGGAUUUUGAAAUUCCAGCGGUUUAUGUACGUAAAAAACCCUCGGAGUUUCCGAAAAAUCGCUUCCAGUAAUCCUUCGUUGUCUGGGUCAGUAGGUGUUGGUAAGGUUUCUAAAAUGGAACCUGUAGCUUUUGUUCAGACAAGAUACGAGGUUUCACGAAAUCGACCCAGGAAUUGUUCGACAGCCUCGUCCAUGGCCGCCCUCAGCCUUCAGCUCGCCGACAUCCGAGCACCCAUGGUGAGAAAUUUUGGGGAAUGUUCUGCUACAAGUGCUCUUAUUGGAAGAAAUUCAAAAUUCAAGUCUGGCAGCCUGGCAGGUGCUUCUCCGGAAUGCACUUAUAAGUGCCUCUAUAACCCAGAAGCAUUUUUAGUUUUUGCUGCUAAGCACUGCUAAAAGCAGUUUGAUUAUAUGAAUUGAAAGCACUUUUGGCAAUUCCAGAAGCAUUCCGAAACAAGCUUUUAUUCAGAUUAUAUAGAUGACAAAUAAAGCACUAAGCUAUUAAACACUUACAUGAGGAUGAGGUUGAUCUCUUGGGGGCAUUCUUACUUGUGCUUAAUAGUGAGGAUGAGGUUGAUCACAGCUCUGAUGCUCUUACUCGAGCCGGAAUGAGAACUGAGAUUGAUUCGAGGUUUGUUUUUGAAACUACUGUUAGGGAGAAUGAUACGCUUGUUGCAGAAUUCGUGGCCGGCCAAAAGCACAAGAGUAGGCUUUCUGAUCUUUCAGAAUGCCCACUUUCUCUAGCAAAAGCUUCCUAUAUGUUAGCAACUGGUUGUCUGCAAUUGCAAUUCCAGUGGGAGCUCAGUGCAGGGAUGUUGUGGUUCUUACUAGUCCUUCUCACCAGGGGAAGGGCCUUACUGAUCGUUCAUCAUUUGGGCCACCUCUUCUAAAUCAACACAAUGGCAGUGCAAUUGGCUUAAUGGUGAAAAAAAUCAAAUGUUGUCGCUUCCUUGGCUCAGUUUGUUUCCGUACUAGCAACGCAACCGAGUUCAGGUAGAGUUGGGCGCUGCUUAAGCACCUUUGGGCAAAUUGUCUAUCAACUUCCUAGAGAAACAAAGCUGUCGCUUCUGGGUCUGCACCAAAUACCUAAGUUAUCAAGUGAAUGUGGGGAGCAUAGAAUUGGAGCUAUUACAAUUCCUUUUAGCAGUUUGGUGCCUCGCAAAUCCCCCGAGACAAUGAUUGAAGCCCUUGUUCCACCCCUAGGAACAAACUCGCAGGACAAUCGGUCAACUGGAUCUGUUGCUCUAAUGUUGGAAUCAGAACUUGAUGAGUUCACAAAGCUUGGGGGUUGGAUUGAGAUGAAGCAGUCGAAUCCCAAACAUAUAGAAUGGGCUCUGACCGUUGCUGAUGAUUCGGAAGAUUCAGUUGGAUGGGCAAUAGGUUUAAAUGGGAUAUUUGACUUCAUCUUCCGGAAAUUUUACCAUCCGAACAUUUUGAUUUGUUGAACCUUCAAUUAAACAUUCAAUUUGUGCUAAAAACUCCCAUGACAAGAACUCUAUUACAUGUUACGUUUAAAAAUAACGCCUUCAAUUAAAUGUUCAAUUUGUGCUAAAAACUCACAUGACAAGAACUCUAUUACACGUUAUGUUUAAAAUUAACGCCACAUACGUGUUAUGUAUUAUAGAGCUGACAACAUUUUCAAAUAGUCAAUAAUGCACAUCAUUUGAUUUGGUUUACAGCUUGCUA